UACAGAGGGGGCAAGCGUUGUUCGGAAUUACUGGGCGUAAAGGGCGCGUAGGCGGCCUUCUAAGUCGAACGUGAAAUCCCCGGGCUCAAUCCGGGAACUGCGUCCGAUACUGGAAGGCUUGAAUCCGGGAGAGGGAUGCGGAAUUCCAGGUGUAGCGGUGAAAUGCGUAGAUAUCUGGAGGAACAUCGGUGGGGAAGGUGGUAUCCUGGACCGGCAUUGACGCUGAGGCGCGAAAGCCAGGGGAGCAAACGGG
rnacentral:rRNA from 1 species